rnacentral:rRNA from 1 species
GACGAACGCUGGCGGCGUGCUUAACACAUGCAAGUCGAACGGAAAGGCCUGCUUUCCCUUGUGGAUUGCGGGUACUCGAGUGGCGAACGGGUGAGUAACACGUGAGUCAUCUGCCCCCAACUUAGUUAUAAGCAUGGGAAACUGGGUCUAAUUCCCGAUAGGACUGCAGGGUGGUGCCUGUGGUGGAAAACGAUUUUCUAGUGGUUGGGGAGGAGCUCCCGGCGUAUCAGCUUGUUGGUGGGGUAAUGGCCUACCAAGGCGGGGACGGGUAGCCAGCCUGAGAGGGUGGACGGUCACAGUGGGACUGGGAUACGGCCCAGACGGCUACGGGAGGCAGCAGUGGGGACGAUUGGACAAUGGGCGGAAGCCUGAUGCAGCGACUCCGCGUGGGGGAUGACGGCCUUGGGGUUGUAAACUCCUUGCGACCGAGAGGAAGCCACGUGGUUGGAAGGGUGGUGACGGUAGUGGUAGAAGAAGCACCGGCUAACUACGUG